rnacentral:rRNA from 1 species
UACUAAAUGAAGCUCAAUAUUAAAUCAUAUUAAAUACCCUAAUUAUCUAAAACAAAACAUUUAUUAUUAUAAUAAUAGUAUAGGUGAUAGAAAUUAUAUUUGACGCUAUAGAGAAAGUACCGCAAGGGAAACAAUGAAAGAGAUUUGAAAGUAUAAAAUAGCAAAGUUUAGUUCUUGUACCUUUUGCAGAAUGAUUUAACUAGAAUACACUUAGCAAAAAGAAUUGAAGUUAAAUACCCCGAAACCAGACGAGCUAUUCAUUAGCAGCCUUUAGAGCAAACUCUUCUAUGUGGCAAAAUAGUGAGAUGACUAAUGGAUAGAGGCGAAAAACCUAUCGAGCCUGGUGAUAGCUGGUUGUCCAAAUUAGAAUUUCAGUUCAGACUUAAACUUACAAAAAAACCUAAAAAUUAAAAUGUAGAUUUAAGUAUUAGUCCAAAAGGGUACAGCCUUUUGGAUAAGAGAUACAACUCCAAUUAGAGAGUAAACCAAUUUAAAAUACAGUAGUUGGCCUAAAAGCAGCCACCAAACGAGAUAGCGUUCAAGCUCAACAAUAAGCGAAAUUAAUCCCAAUUAUAACUUUUUAACUCCUAACAAAGUACAUUGGACUACUCUAUUUAUAAAUAGAAGCAAUAAUGGUUAAUAUGAGUAACAAGAAAUAUUUCUCCUUGCACGCGUGUAUAUUAGAUCGGAUGAUCCACUAAUAGUUAUCAAAAUUAAAAUAUACUAUGAAUGAAUUAAUAUUAUUAAUUGUUAACCCAACACAGGAGUGCAAUAUCAAGGAAAGAUUUAAAGAAGUAAAAGGAACUCGGCAAACAUAAACCCCGCCUGUUUACCAAAAACAUCACCUCUAGCAUGAAAAGUAUUAGAGGCACUGCCUGCCCAGUGACCCUGGUUCAACGGCCGCGGUAUCCUGACCGUGCAAAGGUAGCAUAAUCAUUUGUUCUCUAAAUAGGGACUUGUAUGAAUGGCCUCACGAGGGUUUGACUGUCUCUUACUUCAAAUCAGUGAAAUUGACAAUCUCGUGAAGAGGCGAGAAUAAUAAAAUUAGACGAGAAGACCCUAUGGAGCUUUAAUUAAUUAUUUCAUUACAAAAAAAAAACAAUAUUCUCAUAAGAAAUAAUCUCAUGUAAUUGAAAUAAUAAUUUAGGUUGGGGCGACCUCGGAAAAAAAAUAAUCUCCCGAGAAAAAUUAUAUCAAGACGUACAUGUCAAAAUUAUUUUAUCAGUAUAUUGAUCCGUAUUAACGAUCAACGAAACAAGUUACCCUAGGGAUAACAGCGCAAUCCUAUUUGAGAGUUCCUAUCGAAAAUUAGGGUUUACGACCUCGAUGUUGGAUCAGGACAUCCCAAUGGUGCAGCAGCUAUUAAUGUGUUCGUUUGUUCAACGAUUAAAGUCCUACGUGAUCUGAGUUCAGACCGGAGUAAUCCAGGUCGGUUUCUAUCUAUUUACAGGUCCCUCCCAGUACGAAAGGAUAAGAGAGACAGGGCCCACUUAACAUAAGAGCCCUAAUAAAAAAGAUGAUAUAGUCUAAAUCUACUAAAUAAUAAAGAAAACCCAAGAGAAGGGUUA